UUAGAUUUUAUUUAUUAAUUUUAGUUAUUUAUAUUAAAAUUAUUAAAAAUAAUUAUAAAAUAUAAAGUUUUAGUAUUUUUUAAAGAACUAAUAAAUUUAAUAAUAGUUAAAUAGUAUUGUAAAAGAAAAUUGAAAUAAUUGAAAAAUAAUUAUUGUAAAAGAAAAUUUAAUUUAUUGUACCUUGUGUAUCAGUGUUUAUUAAAUAAAAAUUAAUUAUAGAUUAUUUUUCUCGAUUUUAAAAGAGUUAAUAUAAUAUAAAAGUUAAUGUAAUAAAAUUAUUUUUAAUAUUAUAUUAGAAAUGAAAUGUUAUUCGUUUUUAAAGGUAUCUAGUUUUUCAAGAAAUAAAUUUAAUUUAGAAUUUGAUAAUUUACUUUAAUGUUUAUUUAUUUAAUUAAUUAUCAAAUUUAAUAUUUUAUGGGAUAAGCUAUAAAAUAAAUUUUUAUAAAUAAUAAAUAAUUAUUAAUUAUAUAUAUAUGCUUAGAAAUAGCAAUUAUUAAUAAAUAUGUUAUAAUUUAUUUUAUAAUAUGUAUUAUUUAUUGUAUUUUAAUUAAUUAUUGAAAUAUUUAUUUUAAUUUUUAAAAUAAAGUAAUAAUGAUAAAAUUAGUAUAUUUUUUUGUAGAAAUAAAUUUAUAUGAAAAGUUUAUGUAAAG
rnacentral:rRNA from 1 species